GAUUCUGGCUCAGGAUGAACGCUAGCUACAGGCUUAACACAUGCAAGUCGAGGGGAAACGACAUCGAAAGCUUGCUUUGAUGGGCGUCGACCGGCGCACGGGUGAGUAACGCGUAUCCAACCUGCCCACCACUUGGGGAUAACCUUGCGAAAGUAAGACUAAUACCCAAUGACGUCUCUAGAAGAUAUCUGAAAGAGAUUAAAGAUUUAUCGGUGAUGGAUGGGGAUGCGUCUGAUUAGCUUGUUGGCGGGGUAACGGCCCACCAAGGCGACGAUCAGUAGGGGUUCUGAGAGGAAGGUCCCCCACAUUGGAACUGAGACACGGUCCAAACUCCUACGGGAGGCAGCAGUGAGGAAUAUUGGUCAAUGGGCGAGAGCCUGAACCAGCCAAGUAGCGUGCAGGAUGACGGCCCUAUGGGUUGUAAACUGCUUUUAUAAGGGAAUAAAGUGAGCCUCGUGAGGCUUUUUGCAUGUACCUUAUGAAUAAGGACCGGCUAAUUCCGUG
rnacentral:rRNA from 1 species